GACGAACGCUGGCGGCGUGCUUAACACAUGCAAGUCGAGCGGUAAGGCCCUUUCGGGGGUACACGAGCGGCGAACGGGUGAGUAACACGUGGGUGACCUGCCUUUAGCUCUGGGAUAAGCCUGGGAAACUGGGUCUAAUACCGGAUAUGACUCCGCGGUGCAUGCUGUGGGGUGGAAAGCCUUGUGCGGCUGGAGAUGGGCCCGCGGCCUAUCAGCUUGUUGGUGGGGUGAUGGCCUACCAAGGCGACGACGGGUAGCCGGCCUGAGAGGGCGACCGGCCACACUGGGACUGAGACACGGCCCAGACUCCUACGGGAGGCAGCAGUGGGGAAUCUUGGACAAUGGGCGCAAGCCUGAUCCAGCCAUGCCGCGUGAGUGAAGAAGGCCUUAGGGUUGUAAAGCU
rnacentral:rRNA from 1 species